CAGUGGCACGAUCUCAGCUCACCGCAACCUCCGCCUGCUGGGUUCAAGCGAUUCUCCUGCCUCAGCUUCCCAAGUAGCUGGGACUACAGGUGUGAGCCACCACACCUGGCUAACUUUUGUAUCUUUUGUAGAGAUGGGGCUUCACCAUGUUGGCCAGGCUGGUCUUGAACUCAAACUCCUGACCUCAGGUGAUCUGCAUACCUUGGCCUCCCAAAGUGCUAAGAUUACAGGCAUAAGCCACCGCAUGUGGCUCUAUCCAGCCUUUUACAGAAAAAGUUUGCUGACUAUUCUACAUCAUUGACCACCCUACACUGGGUUCUUUCAGAGUACUUAAUAGAGCACACAUACUGUCGAUGCCUCAGUUGGACCACGAUUGCUCUCAUAGGAUCUAAUGUGAUGAGACAAAAAGUCCAACAGACUUAGAUUUUAACGCUGAGCUCACUCCUUUACCAAAUGAGCCACGUUGAGCAAGUAAUUUAAUUGCUUCAAGUUUCUUGGGGUUUUUCUGUUUUUUGUGGUUUUUUGUUUUUUUUUUUUUGAGACAGAGUCUCACUCUGUUGCUUAGGCUAGAGUGGUGUCACAAUCUCAGCUUACUGCAACUUCUGCCUCCUGGGGUCAAGCAAUUCUCCUGUCUCAGCCCCCCGAGUAAGCUGGGACUACAGGUGCCUGCCACCAUGCCCAGCUAAUUUUUGUAUUUUUAGUAGAGAUGGGGUUUCACCUUGUCAGUCAGUCUGGUCUCGAACUCCUGACCUCAGGUGAUCCAUCCACCUUGGCCUCCCAAAGUACUGGGAUUACAGGCGUGAGCCACCAUGCCCAGCCCAAGUUUUAUUUUAUAAUGUAAAGAAAAAAGGGGAUGAUAAUACCUCACAAGAUUGUUGUAAAGUCUAAAAAAGUCUAAUGUAAAGUCUUAAAAAGUCCUCUUUUUCUUUUUUUCAUUUAAUUUUUUUUAGAGACAAUCUUGCUAUGCUGCCCAGGCUGGCUGGAGUGCAGUGGCUUCUCACAGGUAUGAACAUAGCUCAUUGUAGCCUUGAAUUCCUGGGGCUCAAGUGAUCUUCCUGCUUCAGCCUCCUGAACAGCUGGAACUACAGGCACUGACCACCAUGCACCUUUUUUUUUUUUAACUUUUUAUCGAGGUCCUCUUUCAUCUAGAUUUUCUCAAUAACUAUGAUUGAAUAUGCAUAAUAAUCAGUUUUAAAUGCUUGUUGAGAGAAUGAAGACUUGAAUGUUUGGUUGAAUAAGACAAAAUUUCAGUAUAGCCUGUAAAUUUGAAUGGCAUAUAGAUAGACUUGCUUUCUCUUUAAUACUCUAAAAUCAAAUACUUUUUUUGGGGGGGGACAGAUUCUCACUCUGUCACCCAGGCUAGAGUGCAGUGGCCGAAUCUGGAUCUCGGCCUUGGCUCACUGCAAGCUCCACCUCCCAGGUUCAAGCAAUUCUUGUGCCUCAGCCUCCCGAGUAGCUGGGAUUACAGGUGCAUGCUACCACACCUGGCUAUUUUUUUGUAUUUGUAGUAGAGAUGGGGUUUCACCAUAUUGGCCAUGCUGGUCUCAAACUCCUGACCUCAAGCCGUCUACCUGCCUCAGCCUCCCACAAUGCUGGAAUUGCAGGCGUGAGCCACCACGCCCGACUCCAAAUACUUUUACUAAACCAAUUUUUUUUCCUUUUUCUUUCUUUUUUUUUUUUUUUUUUGAGACAGAGUGUCGCUCUGUCACACAGGCUGGAGUGCAGCGAUGUGAUCUUGGCUCACUGAAACCUCUGCCUCCCGGAUUCAGGCAAUUCUUGUGCCUCAGCCUCCCGAGUAGCUAGGGUUACAGGCUCACACCACCACACCUGGCUAAUUUUUUGUGCUUUCAGUAGAGAUAGGGUUUCACUAUGUUGGCCAGGCUGAUCUUGAGCUCCUGACCUCAGGUGAUCUGCCUGCCUGCCUCAGCCUCCCAAAGUGCUGGGAUUACAGGCAUGAGCCACUGCACCUGGCCAUAAAGCAAAUUUUAUUGAAACUGAAAACAUAUUCCCUAGCCUUGCUACCUCUCACCUACUUUUGCAAUAGAUCAUUAUGUUAAUCAUAUGCUUGGCGAGGCGCAGUGGCUCACUCCUGUAAUUCCCAGCAGUUUGGGAGGCCGACAUGGGCAGAUUACCUGAGGUCAGGAGUUCGAGACCAGCCUUGCCAACAUGGUGAAACCCUGUCUCUACUAAAAAUACAAAAAAUUAGCCGGGCGUGGUGAUGCGUGCCUGUAAUCUCAUCUACUAGGAUUACUAGGGAGGCUGAGGCAGAAGAAUCACUUGAACCUGGGGGGCAGAGGUUGCAGUGAGCCGAGAUCGGUCCAUUGCACUCCAGCUUGGGCAACAAGUGCAAAACUGUCUCAAAAAAAAAAAAAAAUCACAUGCUUACCAGUCUUACUUUCCCUUAUAUACCAGUGGGUGGCACUGUACACAGUUGGCUGUAUCUCCCUCGGUGCUGAAGAGUGGAAACAGAGCAUUAAAGUUGGAAGGGACUUUCGAAUUGAUGUGACCCAUACUGAGGAAGAAUUCAUGGCAAAAGCAGAAUCUAAACUCUGACCUCCCAUCCUCCCAUUCCAGAAUUUUUUGCUUAGUGCCACAAGGCCUCACUACAAGUGUGCAGAUGCUCAAUAAACACUUGAGGAUGCUGUACACUCUCAUUUCCAUUCUGCUUUUAUGCUUAGUUUCUGCUUAGCAUUGUGGCAGCUUAGAAGCACUGUUGUAAAGCAGGGCUUUCGAAUCAGACAAACUAAGACUUGAAUCCUGGCUCUACCAUGCACCAGCUCUGUGACCUCUUACAAUCCUAUCAGCUCCAUCUUCAAAGUAUAACCGCAUCUCUGGCCACACCACUGUGAACAUGCAUGAAUUCCUCAAAACACGUAUCAAAUCUGACAUUUCUUGUCACCUCCACCAUUAUCAGCCUAAGUCAAGACACAGAUUUUUUCCUGGACCACAGCAAUAGGCUUCUGACAGGUCACCUGGCCUCUGUUCUUGUUCCUCUACAGUCUAUUCUGCAUACAGUACCUUAAGGAAGAAAUGUAAACCAGAGUGUCACUGUUCUCUCAAAUCCCCCAGUGGCUUCCUGUCCCACCAAUAUGGCCCUGAGUGAUUUUCCCUUGCUCUGUUGGCUGCAGCCUCACUGGCCUCCUUAUUUCCCCCCUUAGCACUUGCUACUUCCCCAGCCAGGGAUGCCUUUCACACUGACCUCACUUCCUUAUUCCAUCCAGACCUCUGUUCAGACAUCUCCUCAGAGAGCGCUCCUUGACCACCCAACCUAAUAUGGCCCUCUCAUCACUUUUCUUCCCUUAUCCCACUAACUUUUCUUCAUAGCACUUCAAUGCAACAGACAUUAUGUACAUACUUACUUGUUUAUUUAUUUACUAUUCCCACCAACCUCCAGGUUGUAAGCUCCACAUUUUGCUCACUGUGAUAUUCCUAGUUCUUAAAACAUUAAGCGCUCAAAAAUUAUGCAUUGAAUGAAUGAAACUCCUUAACCUCUCUAAUCCCCACUUUGCUAAUCUAAAAAAUGAGAAUAAUAUUUACCACAAAGUUAUUGUGAAAUUAAACAAAAAAUGAAAUAAUGUAUAUAAAUAGAACAUUAAAAAUGCUCAAUAAGUGUAGCUGUUAUUGUUCACUUUUUGUUGUUUUGCCACAUAUUAUUAUGCUAAACUAAAGCAAAAUAAUCCUUCUAUCCUAUUUCCAAAGGACAUAUUCUUUAAUUAUGAGGCAAUCCCUAGUUUUGAAAGUUAGCAUUAUACAUUUCUUUAAUUUGCAUAUGCUAUAUUUUAAAAUAUUGGGCUUCUGUAACUGAGAAUAGAUUUUUGCUUGUAUACUUCUAAUGUAUUAAAAUAAAAAUUUUGGCCAGGCACAGUGGCUCAUGCCUGUAAUCCCAGCACUUUGGCAGGUCGAGGCGGGUGGAUCACGAGAUCAGGAGUUCGAGACCAGUCUGGCCAACAGAGUGAAACCCCAUCUCUACUAAAAAUACAAAAAAUUAGCCGGGUGUGGUGGUGUGCGCCUGUAAUCCCAGCUACUCAGGAGGCUGAGGCAGGAGAAUCGCGUGAACCCGGGAGGCAAAGGUUGCAGUGAGCCAAGAUCAUGCCAUUGCACUCCAGCCGGAUGACAGUGCGAGAUUCUGUCUCAAAAAUAAAUAAGUAAAAUAAAAAUUUUUGGCCAGGUGAGGUGGCUCACAGUAGUCCCAGCUACUCAGAAGGCUGAGGUGGGAGGAUCAUUCAAACCCAGAAAUUCAAGGUUGUAGGGAGCCAUGAUCGUGCCAUUGCACUCAAGCCCGGACGAAAGAGCAAGACCCUACUAUCUCAAAAAUAAGUAAAUAAAUAUUAAAAAUAUAAAGCUUUAUAUCAGUGUCAUGUCAAAUCUUUUUUUUUGUUAACUCGGUUUUUUGGCCUCCAAAAGUGCUGGCAUUACAAACAUGAGCCCCUACACCCAGCCCAGAAUAAGCAUUCUAAAGACCUCUUAUUGUUGUAAUUGUAGAAUUAUUCAAGGGCCUCAGCAGAAACCUUACAAGCCAGAAGGGAUUGGGAUCCUAUCUUCAGCCUCCUUAAACUGAGUAACAGUCAGCCAAGAAUUAUUAUUAUUAUUAUUAUUAUUUUAGACAGAGUCUCGCUCUGUCGCCCAGGCUGGAGUACAGUGGCACGAUCUCGGCUCACUGCAACCUCUGCCUCCUGGGUUCAUGUGAUUAUCUUGCCUCAGCCUCAAAAGUAGCUGGGAUUACAGGCAUGCACCACCAUGCCCUGCUAAUUUUGUAUUUUUAGUAGAGGCGGGAUUUCACUAUGUUGACCAGACUGGUCUCGAACUCCUGACCUCAUGAUCCACCCACCUCAGCCUCCCAAAGUGUUGGGAUUACAGGCGUGAGCCACCACGCCCAGCAAGAAUUUUUUUUUGAGAGGGAGUCUUGCUUUGUCACCCAGGCUGGAG
rnacentral:lncRNA from 10 species